rnacentral:rRNA from 1 species
GAAUCUCGGCAACGGAUAUCUCGGCUCCUGCAUCGAUGAAGAAAGUAGCGAAAUGCGAUACUUGGUGUGAAUUGCAGAAUCCCGUGAACCAUCGAGUCUUUGAACGCAAGUUGCGCCCGAAGCCAUUAGGCCGAGGGCAAGCCUGCCUGGGUGUUGCA